CGCUCAAUCACUGAUAUACAAGUGUCUGUAUAUGGAAAUAUAUAUAUAUAUAUUUGUAUCAAUAUAUAUACUCGAUCGCUGGGUGGCAGACGUUGCCUGAAUUGAAUUCAUUGUUGAGGAGAGAUUUGGUUAAGUGAUUGUGAUUGUUUGCUUUUUGGCCAGAUAAGUAGCUCCGCUCCACCCUCUGAACCCCCUGGAAAAUUGGCUCCUGAUUCACCUGAGGCCAAAGGUCAAUCAACAGGUGACGGGGCUUUUUUCGUGGCUUCUGUGGGAAGAUUUCAAAAUUCCGAGACACCACGUUCAAGGGUGGGAAUUUAAAUUUUAUAUUGAUAACCAUUUACUCCAACUUUAUAGCCGUGCAAAAUUUGAUGACCGAUUUUAUUGGCUCACGGAUGUUAAAAUAUUUUCUGCACAUUAUGAGAUUCAGCACGCUGAAUGCGAUUUCUUUCUAAAAAGAUGACCCAUUUUGAUGUCAUAGUUCGCCGGGCAAGGUGUCGACUUACAUGUGCAGCGAUGGAUGGCCGGCUAGCCCCUACCAAAAUAAAACUGAUGGAAUGGAGUGCGGUGGAGUAGUUCGAACCUUUGGAAUGGCAGCAGGCAGGAUCCGAGAUCCCUAGAUGCCAGGAUCUCCUGGCACAGAAAGCGAAAAAAAAGAAGGAAAGGGACAAGACUUCUGAAAGGAGAGGUAUAACCUUUAACCUCCGGAUCGGUCGGUCGGUUGGUAAGUGUUGCUUGUGUAUUAUUUCCCCGAAGUCUCAGGCGGCACAAUUCGGGGGAAACUAUAUACGCCAUAUAGCUGGGCUGGCUCUUCUACCUGAAGCCGAACGCUCGGUGGUGGUUUCUUUUGCCUACUUUGACGACAAGAAGUCAAAUUCUCGAUUUACGACCAUUUUGUUUGAGUAAUUUCGUCUUUCGUCCUUCGGCGUUUGCCACAUGCUCGGCAGUUGUGUAAAUUGUACAGUUUUACUUUCAGCUGUCGCUCCUUUUCGCCUGGGAGUGUAUAACAAGAUCAGAUCCCAGAUCGAGUGACUCAAUCCCAGGCCAUAUUAAUUGAGUAACCCACUUUUUGAUUUUAAUGCUCGCCCUUUACGAGUUGUCGAUGUAAAUACUUAAUGCUUCGCAGCGAUCGUAACCAUAUUUCAUUGGCUCAUUUGCCUGGUUACUCGCAUACUAAAUUAAAAAAACACAAAAAAUGCACAAUAAAAAAAUCAUAGAGGAAAUCAAAGCGAAAGAUAUGUUCACGAUUCAAUUAAACGAUCGUAAAAGUUCCUCUGAAUGGCGGAAAAUAAAAGUGGAAACAGAGUUGUUUGCCCCUAGAGUUAUUCUGUCGUAAAAUUUCCCCAAAUUGUUGUUAGAACAUAAAAACCACCUAAAAAUCGGUAAUAAAAUCAAUCGAAACCUAACUGGAAUGGGACUAGCUGUCGAACUUCUUCGACUUCUCCCCCGCAUUUUUUGGGGAAUUCCCUUGGCGCUAAUAAAAUAAAUAAAAAAAACAAGCAACAAUAAUAAUGAGGGGAGAAUUGUCAGAGUGAUAGCAGCUAUAUUUUUCAGGAAUGUCUGCAAGGUGAUAUGUGUCAGAGUAAAGUGGAAAAUUACUGGGGUAUUGUAAUUAAGUCAACUCAUACUUAAUUUGAGAAUGUUUCAUUUGUUGUUGAAUUGAAUUGCAUUUUUUGUCACCAUUAUUAAAAUAUGUAAGCUGGAAUGUGGAUUUAUUCUUCUUUAUGUAAAAUAAAAAAAAUUUGUAUAUUUUAAUUGCUAUCGUUGUCAUUAAGAAAGUUUGAAUAAUUUACUAAAAUAUAUAUCAAUAAUAGGUAUGCAGAUUUGUAUCUCUUUAGAAAAGUGAUGUUUCCAGAUGAUUUUUAUUAAUUCAAUCCCUGCUACAUAGUCUAAUCCCCUUCUCCACCCAACCAGACAACAUUCAAUUAGAGGAAUUGCAUUUCGCAGACGGGCAAAUCAACAUCAAAAUCAAAUUCAUUGCAUUGGCCAUGGUUCACGACCAGGCCCAGACCCACACACUCGCAAAGUGGCACGCAUACUCGUACAGAUGCGGACACAGAUAGAAACCGUCAACACGGAGUGCCUCUAAAUGCGGCGAGAACGCGAAAAACCGUUAAGCAUCAAUUUUGACGCAUCAUAAAACUGCAAUGAAGUGAUAAGUGCCGCUGCUGCAAACGCAAAUAUGCAACAGGAAUGUGCAGUUCAUAGAUAUUUCGGGAUGGCGGGGUGCACUAUGUGCCACAUGCCAUGAAAGAUGGGGGUCGCGAAACCAGAAUCUGCAAAUGGAUAUUGACGAACUUGCCGCUGAAAAUGGGACCCGUAUCCGGAGCGAUAACAAUGCAAAUGCAAUGGCACCCACUUCACAUGUACGUUUUUCCAUGGGUUUGGGUGAAGUGCACUCAGAGAAGAUGGAAAGUAUAACGCUAAAUAUAUUCUAUCUAGAACUUCCAUGGUUUUGUUAUAAAACUCCAUU